ACGCUGGCGGCAGGCCUAACACAUGCAAGUCGAGCGGUAACAGAAAUUAGCUUGCUAAUUUGCUGACGAGCGGCGGACGGGUGAGUAAUGCCUGGGAAUAUGCCUUAGUGUGGGGGAUAACUAUUGGAAACGAUAGCUAAUACCGCAUAAUGUCUUCGGACCAAAGAGGGGGACCUUCGGGCCUCUCGCGCUAAGAUUAGCCCAGGUGAGAUUAGCUAGUUGGUGAGGUAAGAGCUCACCAAGGCGACGAUCUCUAGCUGGUCUGAGAGGAUGAUCAGCCACACUGGAACUGAGACACGGUCCAGACUCCUACGGGAGGCAGCAGUGGGGAAUAUUGCACAAUGGGCGAAAGCCUGAUGCAGCCAUGCCGCGUGUAUGAAGAAGGCCUUCGGGUUGUAAAGUACUUUCAGUAGGGAGGAAGGCGUAGUCGUUAAUAGCGGCUUCGUUUGACGUUACCUACAGAAGAAGCACCGGCUAACUCCGUGCCAGCAGCCGCGGUAAUACGGAGGGUGCGAGCGUUAAUCGGAAUUACUGGGCGUAAAGCGCAUGCAGGUGGUUCAUUAAGUCAGAUGUGAAAGCCCGGGGCUCAACCUCGGAACCGCAUUUGAAACUGGUGAACUAGAGUGCUGUAGAGGGGGGUAGAAUUUCAGGUGUAGCGGUGAAAUGCGUAGAGAUCUGAAGGAAUACCAGUGGCGAAGGCGGCCCCCUGGACA
rnacentral:rRNA from 2 species